rnacentral:tRNA from 1 species
GAUUCUCGUGGUUGAAGCUACAACGGGGGUUUUUCAUACCUCAGGUCUUGGUUAGACUCCAAGUGAGAAU